GGCCGUGUGGCGAAAUGGUAUCGCGUCUGACUACGACUCAGAGCAGUCUAUCAGGAGAUUGUAGGUUCGACCCCUAUCUCGGUCA
rnacentral:tRNA from 1 species